AUUGCCUUUUGGCCUUUUGGCUAAGAUCAAGUGUAGUAUC
rnacentral:snRNA from 1 species